rnacentral:rRNA from 1 species
UACGUAGGGGGCUAGCGUUGUCCGGAAUCAUUGGGCGUAAAGAGCGUGUAGGCGGUCCGGUAAGUCCGCUGUGAAAGUCGGGGGCUCAACCCUCGAAUGCCGGUGGAUACUGUCGGGCUAGAGUACGGAAGAGGCGAGUGGAAUUCCUGGUGUAGCGGUGGAAUGCGCAGAUAUCAGGAGGAACACCCAUAGCGAAGGCAGCUUGCUGGGACGUUACUGACGCUAAGGCGCGAAAGCGUGGGGAGCGAACAGG